rnacentral:rRNA from 1 species
UAAAGGAUGGGCAUGCGUCUGAUUAGCUAGUUUGGCGAGGUAAACGGGCUCACCAAGGCGACGAUCAGUAGCUGGUCUGAGAGGAUGAUCAGCCACACUGGCACUGAGAUACGGGCCAGACUCCUACGGGAGGCAGCAGUAGGGAUAUUGGUCAAUGGGCGAAAGCCUGAACCAGCCACGCCGCGUGCAGGAAGAAGGUCCUCUGGAUUGUAAACUGCUUUUGCCAAGGGAUAAAGAGAGGCUAUACGCCUAAAUGAAGGUACUUGGUGAAUAAGCCACGGCUAACUACGUG